rnacentral:rRNA from 1 species
UACGAAGGUGGCAAGCGUUGUUCGGAUUCACUGGGCGUACAGGGUGUGUAGGCGGUUUGGGUAAGCCUUCUGUUAAAGCUUCGGGCCCAACCCGGAAAGCGCAGAGGGUACUGCCAGGCUAGAGGGUGGGAGAGGAGCGCGGAAUUCCCGGUGUAGCGGUGAAAUGCGUAGAGAUCAGGUGGAACACCGAUGGCGAAGGCAGCCUCCUGGACGGGUACUGACGCUGAGGCGCGAAAGCGUGGGGAGCGAACGGG